rnacentral:lncRNA from 1 species
AGGCGAGCCCCCCGCCCGCCUUGCCUUGCGCCCAAGGAGCAGAGAGGGCUACGGGGCGGACUCCUCCUCAGACCAGCAGGCUCCGGCGGCGGCUGCUCCUGCUCCGCCGCUGCCAGGCUCCCGCUCCAGACUAGGCAGAGCGCAGGGAGCGCAGCCCCGCUCUUCUCUCCUCUCCUCCCCUCCCCUGCCUUCUCUUCUUCCCUUCCCUUCCUUCUCGCUCUCUCGCUCUCUCUUCCAAGCCAGGCUCAAGCGGGCGGGGACUCCUCCUCAGACCAGCAGGCUCCGGCGGCGGCUGCUCCUGCUCCGCCGCUGCCAGGCUCCCGCUCCAGACUAGGCAGAGCGCAGGGAGCGCAGCCCCGCUCUUCUCUCCUCUCCUCCCCUCCCCUGCCUUCUCUUCUUCCCUUCCCUUCCUUCUCGCUCUCUCGCUCUCUCUUCCAAGCCAGGCUCAAGCGGGCGGAGCUCGCGGCCCUCGGCGGCCAAUCCCGGCCGUCCGGCCUUGGGCUCCGCUGGGGCGAGGGGAAGGGGAACGUGCACCCCCCCACACACACACACACACACCACACACACACUCGGUCGAGGAAGGCAGUGGCGAGCUCAGGCGGGCGGGAGAGAAAGAGAGAGGGAGGAGAAAUGGCUCCCUCGACAAGGAGAGCAGAUGGGAACGUUGCUCCUUCCGAGUCUGUGGAGCGACCAAGCGAAGCGUGUCGUCGUCGUUGUUGGGCGGCGCCUGGCCACCCACAAGGCCAGCGUGUGACCCCGCCUCCCGGUGGUUGGGUCGCCCGUGGCUUCCUCGCGUCGAGCGGGCGAGGAAGGUGGCCGUCCUUGGAGGAGACGGCAAAGAGCUCUGGACUCCUCCCUUUCCUGCCAGAUGCUGGCAACCAAGCUACCUUGCCCUUUGAGCUCUGAACAAUCUGCAGGAGAGAGUCAAGCUUUCUGGGUAGAUCGACACCAAGACAGCACAUAGAUUGCUGCAGCACGGUAAGUGGUAAAUGAUAAAUGGGCCUGAGAAACAUCUCCAUAGCAAUGGUACCUGGGAGGGGAAAUGC